CAAUAGCGUAUAUUAAAGUUGUUGCAGUUAAAAAGCUCGUAGUUGGAUUUGUGGCGUACGGUGUGUUCCGGGCACUUGUUGUCUGAGUAACCUGCUGUUGCCAUCCUUGGGUGGAACCUGUGUGGCAUUAGGUUGUCGUGCAGGGGAUGCCCAUCAUUUACUGUGAAAAAAUUAGAGCGUUCAAAGCAGGCUUAUGCCGUUGAAUAUAUUAGCAUGGAAUAAUGAGAUAGGACUUUUUUGCUAUUUUGUUGGUUUGCGCAAAGAGGUAAUGAUUAAUAGGGACAGUUGGGGGUAUUCGUAUUCCAUUGUCAGAGGUGAAAUUCUUGGAUUUUUGGAAGACGAACUACUGCGAAAGCAUUUACCAAGGAUGUUUUCAUUAA
rnacentral:rRNA from 1 species